rnacentral:lncRNA from 1 species
CCCCAUUACCAUGCUCGUAAGGACCAUCAUAGCCCUCACAAAACUCAUUUUCACCGUGCUCAUAGCUCAUAUUGCUACAAGCGUAUUCACCAAUAUCAUCUCCACAAUAUUCGGAAGUUACGGAUGACAUUCUUCCUUGUAAUCACCUUGGGUACCUACAAAACUUAGCAAACAAGGUUAGUGGCAAAAUUCCUCACACCUCUCUUAUUUGAUCUCACACUCACCUUCCUAAAGUGUCUUCUCAAAGUUGAUAGAAAACUA